GAGAGGAGGAGAAUUCCUCAAAAGAUAAAAGAUACGGGCAGAGAUCUCUGUCUGAGAGUGAGACCCCCGAGUUCCAGGGCGGAAAGACGGGCAACUGUCUCACCCAUAAAUUCCCACCGGGUCCUCCGAUGCGAUUCUAACUCGCCCAGCGCCCUCCCGGCCCGCGGAGCUCGCGUGUCCCCGCUCGGUGGCAGCGGCGUCUCCCAGUCCGGCACGCGGGUGCCCGCCGUGCCCCCGUCCGCAGCCCCCUGCCCCUCGGGGCGGCCGGGGAGCCCUCUUACCUUUCCGAGUCCUCCGCCGCGGGUGUGGCCGGCUCGGCGGGCGGCCCCGGGCCAGGGCCGAGGGGCGAGGGGCGGGGGCGCGGGGCUGGGGGGGGAGCAGCAGGGUGAGGGCUGGGGGUGCUGGCACGGUGCCCAGGGGGGGCGAGGGGGCAGCGGGCAGCCCCAGGGCCCGCGGGCGAACACGGCCGAGCCGGAGGAGGGGCGCGGAGAGCGGGGCCGAGGAGGGGCGCCGGGGCCCGGGGCGGGGGGCGGGGAGCUCCAGCCUGCGGGACCGGCCCGGGAGCCGGGCGAGGCGCGGAAGGGAGGCCUCGCGCUUGGGGAAGCCGAGGACCCGUCGCGCGGAUCCCUUCGGCUGACAAAUCAAUCAGGGCCAGCCGAGCCGGGGCACUGCCGCCGUCGCUGCGGGGCUCGGGACUCCCCGGCCCGGCCCGCGCCGCCAGCUGCCGGCCGCCUCGGGUCCGCACGGGCCGGCGUCGCGGGCGGGGCGGCGGUCAUCCGGCUGCGGGCGCGUGCGGCCCGGGCGGGGGCGGGGGCGGGGGCCCGCGCGGCGCCGCAUCCUGGCCUCUCCUCCCCCGCCCGCCGCCCGCCCGCGCCCGCCGCGCGCUCCCCCCGCACUGUCACUAGCUCUGGCAGUUCCGUCGGUCCGUCUCUGCCCGCCUCCCCGUGUGUCUCUCCAUCUCCCGGUCUCUGUCGCGUUUCUCUGUCUACCUUCCUCUCCCAGUCCCUCCCGCUGUCCCCAGCUCUCUUGCUCGCGGCGCCUGUUUUCUCUGCCUCCGUGGUGCUGAUUCUCUUACCCUCUCUCCUCGGUCGUUCUCACCAUUAUCACCCACACUCUCUUCUUUCUUUCUGCCUCCCCUCACUCUCCACCCCUCCUUGCUCCCGAUGCUCAGGAGGACUAUGUAUCUCUCCCGCCUUGAAGCAGCAGCCCCAGCCUCGGAAUCAGAACUUAGUCCAUUUCUCUACUCUGAGACCUCGGACCAGUCACUUCCUCCCUCCCAGCUGCAGUUUCCGUGUCUGA
rnacentral:lncRNA from 1 species